AGCUUUGCACCGUGGCAGUAUCGUAGCCAAUGAGGUUUAUCCAAGACGCGAUUAUUGCUAAUUGAAAAAGAUAAUUUGGCAGUGUAUAUCAAAAUGGCAAACCAGAAUACUUUUUAAAAAUAUUUGAGAGAG
rnacentral:snRNA from 3 species